UGCUGUGAGCUCGAUGAGUAGGGCGGGACACGUGGUAUCCUGUCUGAAUAUGGGGGGACCAUCCUCCAAGGCUAAAUACUCCUGACUGACCGAUAGUGAACCAGUACCGUGAGGGAAAGGCGAAAAGAACCCCGGCGAGGGGAGUGAAAAAGAACCUGAAACCGUGUACGUACAAGCAGUGGGAGCACAGGUUUACCUGUGUGACUGCGUACCUUUUGUAUAAUGGGUCAGCGACUUAUAUUCUGUAGCAAGGUUAACCGAAUAGGGGAGCCGUAGGGAAACCGAGUCUUAACCGGGCGUUAAGUUGCAGGGUAUAGACCCGAAACCCGGUGAUCUAGCCAUGGGCAGGUUGAAGGUUGGGUAACACUAACUGGAGGACCGAACCGACUAAUGUUGAAAAAUUAGCGGAUGACCUGUGGCUGGGGGUGAAAGGCCAAUCAAACCGGGAGAUAGCUGGUUCUCCCCGAAAGCUAUUUAGGUAGCGCCUCGUGAACUCAUCUCCGGGGGUAGAGCACUGUUUCGGCUAGGGGGCCAUCCCGGCUUACCAACCCGAUGCAAACUGCGAAUACCGGAGAAUGUUAUCACGGGAGACACACGGCGGGUGCUAACGUCCGUCGUGAAGAGGGAA
rnacentral:rRNA from 1 species